rnacentral:lncRNA from 1 species
AAGCCAGGCUCUGUCUCAACAGAAAAAUAAAUAGAUUACCGCAGAGCAACUUCAGCCUGUAACCAGCUAGCUUUCUAGAUGUAGAAGUAGCUUCGUAAUGGUGAAAUGCGCCAUGCAAACCUUUCAACCACCAUUCCAGUAUGUUCCCAGUCACCUGGAAUUACAAAUAGAAUCUACAUUAUCAUGAAGAAAAUUAUACGUAUGCAUCGGAGGCAGAAAAUUUAUUCAAGCUCUGAAGUCCCAAACAACUGAAAAUGCUCCAAAACACCAUCACGUGACCCUGGUAUUCUCAAAGUGCUGGUGAAAGUGUUUGUUUUGUAGGCCUAAAUGUUUGUUGAUAGUAGAGAGGCGGACUGAUAGACUUUAUAACAAGUCAUGAUCAACAUUCCCCAACUGUUAGUUAAUUACACUGGUCAGUCUACAUCUGUAUUGUUUCUUUGCAACCUGUCAACAAACUCAAAUUUAUCCAUUUAUACCUGAAUAAUUGUGUUGUCAUAUUUUAAGAUGAUGACUAGGCCUACAGCAUCUAACUAACUGUAAUCCUCUGAUAACUAAAUGUCUGAAGGCAAAAUACCAUUUUAUUGAUGAAUAUAUCUCCAUUUAACUCAUACAGAUUAGUGUAGGGUGUAAUGUUGGAAUGUUUUUGUUGACAGUAGCAGGCACUACAUCUGCCUAUGAGCAAAUGGACAGAACUGAGAAUACCUUAUCAUGAACCGUAGUGAACACUGCUGGAAACAUCCUGUUUUAGGAUCGUUUUCUUCACAUACAAGCCCCACCAGUGCAGUUGGCACACAACAGCAUCCCUCCUGAUCAAAUGAAAAGGAAUCCUAUGACACCGCUUGAUCUUUGUCUGACAUGGAAAUCUGCAAAUCAAAUAAGGUGGAAGAAUAACAUCUGGUUAAAAAAUUUAUGUGGAAAAAUAUCUGCUUUAAAGUGAUGUCAUGAACUGGAUGCUGCACUCUUGAUUCCAACACUAAUAUUGUCAUGACCAAAUGUUAAAGUUCAUAUUCAGCAAGUUGAAGAUAACUGACACCAUCUUUAAGUAUAAGUUGCACAAAUAUGGUAUUCAGAAGUUUUUUGUUUACACUACUGAUGUAUAUAUAGUAUAAAAAAAUGGAUUUCUGUAAUAGAAUAAAGUAUUGGAAUACA